UGAGGGGUCGCCGGGAGCAGCUCGGCGGCGUCUGUGAGAGCCGCUCCCUCGGAGGGCCGCCGGCGAGGGCAUGAGCGCGGGCUCCCUCUGCCUCCGGAGCGGCGGCGGGAGCGGCCAGGGGAGGAGGCGCCGCGCGGAGGCCACCGUCCAGGGCAGCGCCAGGGGACAGCAGGGCAGGAGAUGUGCCUGUCCUUAGCCGCACAGGAAGCAGCAUGCACCCCGAUGUCACCCACAGCAGCGGCGCCGGCCUCAGCCCCGCGUCGGCCUCAGGCGUCGGCAGCCGUCCUGCCCCGGGCUCUGGGGCCGAGCGGCGGCCGGAGCCCCCGGGGGACGCGGAGGCGGCGGCGGCGGCGCCGAGGGGCCCAGGCAGCUGGGGCUGGCGGGUGCCAGCGGCCCUGGCUGCGCUUGCCGCCGUGGCCCUCUCCUUCCUGGGGCCCGGCUGUUGGCAGGCGGCGGGGCCGUGUACCGUCCUGUUCAGGCUCAGCCUGUACCUGAGCGGCGCCGCGGCCGCCUUCCUGCUGGGGACCCUAGUCGCCCUGGUCUGCCGGAGCCCACCAGCCGCGCCGCCCGACUUCACCGCCGCCUGGAGCCGGCUGGCGGCGACCACGGCCGCCCGCCGCCCGCCCGGAAGUCCUUUGUAUGGUAACUCACAUGAGUCUGCUCAGUCUAGAAGAGUAGUAAUUUCUCAUAAUAUGGAUAAAGCUCUGAAAGAAGUGUUCGACUACAGUUAUAGAGAUUACGUUCUGUCCUGGUAUGGAAACCUCAGCAGAGAUGAGGGACAACUUUACCAUCUGCUCUUAGAAGACUUUUGGGAAAUAACCAGAGAACUGCACCACAGACUGAGUCACAUGGAUGUGGUUAAAGUUGUCUGCAAUGAUGUUGUAAGGACUUUACUCACUCAUUUCUGUGACCUGAAAGCUGCUAACGCCAGACAUGAAGAACAGCCAAGGCCUUUUGCGUUGCAUGCGUGCUUGAGGAACUCAGAUGAUGAAGUGAGAUUUCUGCAAAUGUGUUCUCGGGUUCUGGUGCUUUGUCUCCUCCCCUCAAAGGAUGUCCAGUCUCUCAGCUUACGGAUCAUGCUUGCAGAAAUUCUCACAACAAAAGUCUUGAAGCCAGUAGUGGAGUUUCUAAGUAAUCCGGAUUAUAUUAACCAAAUGCUACUUGCCCAGUUGGAGUACAGAGAACAGAUAAAUGAACAUCACAAGAGAGCCUACACUUAUGCUCCUUCUUAUGAAGAGUUCAUCAAGCUUAUAAACAGCAACUCUGAUGUGGAGUUCUUGAAGCAACUAAGGUAUCAAAUUGUAGUGGAAAUAAUCCAAGCGACUACAAUUAGCAGCUUUCCCCAACUGAAGAGGCACAAGGGUAAGGAAACUGCUGCAAUGAAAGCUGAUCUCCUGAGGGCCAGGAAUAUGAAAAGGUACAUUAACCAACUGACUGUGGCAAAGAAGCAGUGUGAGAAGAGAAUCAGGACCCUGGGAGGCCCUAGCUAUGACCAGCAAGAGGAAGGGGCCUUGGAUGAGGGGGAAGGGCCUCAAAGCCAGAAGAUUCUUCAAUUUGAGGAUAUCUUGGCCAAUACUUUCUACAGAGAGCACUUUCGAAGGUACAUGGAAAGGAUGGACAAGAGAACUCUGAUUAGUUUUUGGGAGUCUGUGGAACAUUUGAAGAAUGCUAACAAGAAUGAAAUCCCACAAUUAGUCGGUGAAAUUUAUCAGAAUUUCUUUGUGGAGAGCAAAGAAAUAUCUGUGGAAAAAUCGCUUUACAAAGAAAUCCAGCAGUGUCUUGUAGGAAAUAAAGGUAUUGAAGUGUUCUGCAAAAUCCAAGGAGAUGUUUAUGAGACGCUAAAGGAUAGGUAUUACCCUUCAUUUAUUGUCAGUGACCUAUAUGAGAAAUUAAUGAUGAAAGAGGAAGAAAAACAUGCCUCAUGGUUGACUCCCAACAAGGAUGAAACGGGUCCAGGAUGUGAGGCUAGUGAGGAAGCUGUAGAUGAAGGUACCAGUGGGAUUAAUGAACAAGCCAGUUUUGCUGUAAACAAGCUACGAGAACUAAAUGAGAAACUUGAAUAUAAAAGGCAAGCUCUAAAUUCUAUUCAAAAUGCACCAAAACCUGACAAGAAGAUUGUUUCCAAGUUGAAGGAUGAAAUAAUUCUAAUAGAAAAAGAAUGCACAGACCUUCAGCUGCACAUGGCAAGAACAGAUUGGUGGUGUGAAAACCUUGGCAUGUGGAAAGCGUCCAUCACCAGUGGAGAGAUUACAGAAGAGAGUGGUGAACAAAUGCCGUGUUACUUUGUCAUGGUAAGCCUACAAGAAGUUGGAGGAGUUGAAACUAAGAACUGGACAGUCCCAAGAAGGCUCAGUGAGUUUCAGAAUUUACACCGGAAACUUAGUGAGUGUUUCCCUUCUUUAAAAAGUCCAGUUGCCUUCUCUUAGCAACCUGCCUUUCAAAUCAAUAGAUCAAAAGUUUAUGGAAAAGUCAAAGAAUCAAUUAAAUAAGUUUUACAGAAUCUGCUUUCAGAUGAAAGACUGUGUCAGAGUGAAGCACUUUAUGCCUUUUUGAGCCCUUCUCCUGACUACCUCAAGGUUACUGAUGUGCAGGGGAAAAAACCCACUUUUUCAUUAUCUUCAUUUUUGGAAAGACUUCCUCGUGACUUCUUCUCCCACCAGGAGGAGGAGAUAGAGGAAGACAGUGACCUGUCAGAUUAUGGUGACGAUGUGGAUGGGAAGAAAGAUGCCUUGGCUGAACCAUGUUUCAUGUUGAUCGGGGAGAUUUUUGAACUUCGAGGAAUGUUUAAAUGGGUGAGAAGAACAUUAAUUGCCCUCGUUCAGGUCACUUUUGGAAGAACCAUCAACAAACAAAUCCGGGACACAGUGAACUGGAUUUUCAGUGAGCAAAUGUUGGUUUACUACAUCAAUAUUUUCCGGGAUGCUUUUUGGCCAAAUGGGAAAUUGGCACCACCAACCAAGAUCAGAAGCAAAGAGCAAUAUCGGGAAACAAAACAGAGAGCACAGCAAAAGCUACUCGAAAACAUUCCAGAUACGCUUCAGAGCCUUGUUGGACAGCAAAAUGCCCGCCAUGGUAUAAUAAAAAUAUUCAAUGCACUGCAAGAAACAAGAGCCAAUAAGCAUCUGUUAUAUGUGCUGAUAGAACUGCUGCUAAUUGAACUGUGUCCUGAGCUGAGAGCUCAUUUAGAUCAACUUAAAGCUGGUCAAGUUUGAAACUGCACAAAUAAACCACCAGAGAAAUAAAUGUCUGUGUAAUAUAGACAUGAAACAUUUUCCUCUUUUCCACAGAGGGCUUGACUGAGAACCACAUUGAUUUUUAUUUUAGUUACCUCCCUCUAGUUUUAUGCGAAAUAAGCAGAAUUGGGGAGGAGGGGGACUUGAUGCUGUAAUUGACAACAGGAAAAAAAAACUUCUAUUGAUUUUUAUUUAAAUAAUAUAAAUACUUCAAAGCUCUACAUAUUGAUUGAAAUACAAAUGUUAAUAUGUGAUAAGAACCUAGGAAAUAUUUUAAAUAUUUAUGAAAACAGUUUUGUUUUAAAAUAAAGAACUAUGAAUAUUGUACAGUUAAUUUCCUCACUGAGGAUUCUGAACAUUCCUAUACUAUUUCACGUGUACUGAAGAACAUUGUUGUGCAAUGCUUUGUGUAAAGUUACUGUGAAAAUUUUAUUGUCUUUAUUUUUACCAAAGAUUUCCCAUAGUUUGAGCAUUCAAAGCAAUAAAAUAUAAAAAU